rnacentral:lncRNA from 1 species
AUCCAUUAUGAAUAAAGCUGUGGGGAGCCUCAGCAUUGCCUCAGACUCUCUGCUCACUCCUUAGAGAACAUUUGUGCAAAAUGAUUAUGUUCAUAUUCAUUCAAUUGGAAUUCUAUAAAAGUGGAAUGCAUAAAUUACUCUAAAGAUGGGGAGUUUAUCUUAAACAUUAACUAUGUGUGUGAAUUAAUAAGACUAUUAUAAAACCAUUAGCAUUCAGUGUAUUUACCUACGUAUGCUGCAUACCUAAACUAAAUUCAACAAUUGUUCCUAAUUGCUAUUCGUGUUGUGUGAUCAAGCUGUGGUUCAUUUUCCCUCGUAGUUAUAAUAUUUAUGAAUUAGAUUUUCUGUCAAAACUUCUGAACGCACCUUUCCUUUCCAGCUUUUCAUUUGCUCCUACAGUUUUUCAGAAUAUCAAAAACACUGGACUGGAUCGUAUUGGGCACCAGAUGGGCAAGGAGGCUACAGCUCCUGCAGGACCAGGAAGAAAUGUCCAGAUCCAGAGGGUGAGGAAUUCAUCCACCAGCCUCUGUCAGGUUGUGACUGUGCAGUCUGUUUCUUCUGGAAGAGCCCCAAGUGACAGGUAAGAAAAGGAACACAAAAACACAA